UUUGCAGAUUUCUCUGAGCACGGUGGAAAGUCUGAUUAUUUCCCUUUUAAAUAGUGAAACAUGUAUUUGUGCAACGAGGAGAGGAGUCAACGUGU